rnacentral:tRNA from 1 species
GGAUUGUGGCUUAGUGGUAGGGCGCUCGCCUGGCACGUGGGAGGCUCUGGGUUUGAUCCUCAGCACCA